rnacentral:rRNA from 1 species
GACGAACGCUGGCGGCGUGCCUAAUACAUGCAAGUAGAACGCUGAAGGAGGAGCUUGCUUCUCUGGAUGAGUUGCGAACGGGUGAGUAACGCGUAGGUAACCUGCCUGGUAGCGGGGGAUAACUAUUGGAAACGAUAGCUAAUACCGCAUAAUAGCAGUUAUUGCAUGAUAACUGUUUGAAAGGUGCAAUUGCAUCACUACCAGAUGGACCUGCGUUGUAUUAGCUAGUUGGUGGGGUAACGGCUCACCAAGGCGACGAUACAUAGCCGACCUGAGAGGGUGAUCGGCCACACUGGGACUGAGACACGGCCCAGACUCCUACGGGAGGCAGCAGUAGGGAAUCUUCGGCAAUGGACGGAAGUCUGACCGAGCAACGCCGCGUGAGUGAAGAAGGUUUUCGGAUCGUAAAGCUCUGUUGUAAGAGAAGAACGAGUGUGAGAGUGGAAAGUUCACA